rnacentral:rRNA from 1 species
AGGGCGUUCGGUGGAUGCCUGGGCACUAGGAGCCGAUGAAGGACGUGGAAGACUGCGAUAUGCCUCGGGGAGUUGUCAAUCGAGCUGUGAUCCGAGGGUUUCCGAAUGGGGUAACCCAGCACUCGUGAUGGAGUGUUACCCGCAUCUGAAUGUAUAGGGUGUGUGGAGGGAACGCGGGGAAUUGAAACAUCUUAGUACCCGUAGGAAGAGAAAACAAUAUGUGAUUCCGUGAGUAGUGGUGAGCGAAAGCGGAUUAGGCUAAACCAUGUGCAUGUCAAGCUGGCAGGUGUUGUGUGUGUGGUGUUGUGGGACCUGAUUGGAGGAGGCUGCUGACUCCUCGGGUUGUUGUGUUGUGUUAGUGGAACAGGUUGGGAUGCCUGGCCGGAGUGGGUGAGAGUCCCGUACGUGAAAACAUGACGCAGUGGUCUGGAUUGGUGUUCCCAAGUAGUAGCGCACUCGUGGAAUGUGCUGUGAAUCGGCCGGGACCAUCCGGUAAGCCUAAAUACUUCCUAGUGACCGAUAGCGGACUAGUACCGUGAGGGAAAGGUGAAAAGUACCCCGGGAGGGGAGUGAAAGAGUACCUGAAACCGUGCGUCUGCAAGCCGUCAGAGCCUGUGCAUCCUUUGGUGGGUGGCGGGUGAUGGCGUGCCUUUUGAAGAAUGAGCCUGCGAGUUCGUGGUGCGUGGCGAGGUUAACCCGGGUGGGGUAGCCGUAGCGAAAGCGAGUCUGAAUAGGGCGUGUAGUCGCGUGCUCGAGACCCGAAGCGGAGUGAUCUACCCAUGGCCAGGGUGAAGCGCCGGUAAGACGGUGUGGAGGCCCGAACCCACUUAGGUUGAAAACUGAGGGGAUGAGCUGUGGGUAGGGGUGAAAGGCCAAUCAAACUCCGUGAUAGCUGGUUCUCCCCGAAAUGCAUUUAGGUGCAGCGUCGCGUGUUGCUUUGCGGGGGUAGAGCACUGGAUGGCUGAUGGGCCUUACCGGGUUACUGAGGUCAGCCAAACUCCGAAUACCGUGAAGUUGAGCGUGGCAGUGAGACGGCGGGGGAUAAGCUUCGUCGUCGAGAGGGAAACAGCCCAGAACACCAGCUAAGGCCCCUAAGUGUGCGCUAAGUGGAAAAGGAUGUGGGAUUGCCCAGACAACCAGGAGGUUGGCUUAGAAGCAGCCAUCCUUGAAAGAGUGCGUAAUAGCUCACUGGUCAAGUGGUCCUGCGCCGAUAAUGUAGCGGGGCUUAAGCGCAUCGCCGAAGCUGUGUCGUCCAAACAAGAGAUCCGCCGGUGUCUACGGGUGUCGGUGUAGUCGUUUGGGUGGGUAGGGGAGCGUCCUGCAUCCGGUGAAGCCCUGGAGUGAUCCAAGGGUGGAGGGUGUGGGAGUGAGAAUGCAGGCAUGAGUAGCGAAUGGACAGUGAGAAUCUGUCCCGCCGGAUGACUAAGGGUUCCUGGGGCAGGUUGUUCCGCCCAGGGUGAGUCGGGGCCUAAGGCGAGGCCGACAGGCGUAGUCGAUGGUUAACGGGUUGAUAUUCCCGUACCCGUGUUGAUGCGUCCAUGGCGAGGUCGUUGAUACUAACCACCCGAGCCCAUGAGAGACCUUCGGGUUUUUUGUGGGUGAGCGUGGGGCCUGAAACGGUAUUAGUCAAGUGAUGGGGUGACGCAGGAAGGUAGCUCGGCCAGUGAGUGGUUGUACUGGUGUAAGCGUGUGGCCCGCAGUGCAGGGAAAUCCGUGCUGCUGACUUGAAUGUCGUGGGUGAGGCGUGAUGCGUAGCCGUUGUGGUGAAUUGGGUGAUCCUAUGCUGCCGAGAAAAGCCUCUAGCGAGUGUUGACAUGGCCCGUACCCGAAACCGACACAGGUGGUCAGGUAGAGAAUACUAAGGCGAUCGGGUGAACUGUGGUUAAGGAACUCGGCAAAAUGCCCCCGUAACUUCGGGAGAAGGGGGGCCACGGCCGGUGAACAUCCUAGCGUUGGGAGCUGGUGGUGGCCGCAGAGACCAGGGGAAAGCGACUGUUUACUAAAAACACAGGUCCAUGCGAAGAAGUAAUUCGAGGUAUAUGGACUGACGCCUGCCCGGUGCUGGAACGUUAAGAGGACCCGUUAACUCCCUUGUGGGGUGAAGCGGAGAAUUUAAGCGCCAGUAAACGGCGGUGGUAACUAUAACCAUCCUAAGGUAGCGAAAUUCCUUGUCGGGUAAGUUCCGACCUGCACGAAUGGCGUAACGACUUUCCCGCUGUCUCGACCGCAGGCCCGGCGAAAUUGCAUUACGAGUAAAGAUGCUCGUUACGCGCGGCAGGACGGAAAGACCCCGGGACCUUUACUAUAGCUUGGUAUUGGUGUUUGGUUCGGUUUGUGUAGGAUAGGUGGGAAACUGUGAAGCGGUGGCGCUAGCCAUGGUGGAGUUGUCGUUGAAAUACCACUCUGACCGGAUUGGGCAUCUAACCCGCGCCCAUGAUCUGGGUGGGGGACAGUGCCUGGUGGGUAGUUUAACUGGGGCGGUUGCCUCCCAAAGAGUAACGGAGGCGCCCAAAGGUUCCCUCAGCCUGGUUGGCAAUCAGGUGUUGAGUGUAAGUGCACAAGGGAGCUUGACUGUGAGACUGACGGGUCGAGCAGGAGCGAAAGCUGGGACUAGUGAUCCGGCCAUCCCUGAUGGAAGGGUGGUCGCUCAACGGAUAAAAGGUACCCCGGGGAUAACAGGCUGAUCUUGCCCAAGAGUCCAUAUCGACGGCAUGGUUUGGCACCUCGAUGUCGGCUCGUCGCAUCCUGGGGCCGGAGUAGGUCCCAAGGGUUGGGCUGUUCGCCCAUUAAAGCGGUACGCGAGCUGGGUUUAGAACGUCGUGAGACAGUUCGGUCCCUAUCCGCCGCGCGCGUUUGGAGACUUGAGGAAGGCUGUCCCUAGUACGAGAGGACCGGGACGGACGAACCUCUGGUGUGCCAGUUAUCCCGCCAGGGGUAUGGCUGGUUGGCUAUGUUCGGAAGAGAUAACCGCUGAAAGCAUCUAAGCGGGAAACUCGUUUCAAGAUGAGGUCUCCCACCCCACUGUGGGUUAAGGCCCCCUAGAGACCAUGGGGUUGA